AGAGUUUGAUCAUGGCUCAGAUUGAACGCUGGCGGCAGGCCUAACACAUGCAAGUCGAGCGGUAGCACAGAGAGCUUGCUCUCGGGUGACGAGCGGCGGACGGGUGAGUAAUGUCUGGGAAACUGCCUGAUGGAGGGGGAUAACUACUGGAAACGGUAGCUAAUACCGCAUAAUGUCGCAAGACCAAAGUGGGGGACCUUCGGGCCUCAUGCCAUCAGAUGUGCCCAGAUGGGAUUAGCUAGUAGGUGGGGUAACGGCUCACCUAGGCGACGAUCCCUAGCUGGUCUGAGAGGAUGACCAGCCACACUGGAACUGAGACACGGUCCAGACUCCUACGGGAGGCAGCAGUGGGGAAUAUUGCACAAUGGGCGCAAGCCUGAUGCAGCCAUGCCGCGUGUGUGAAGAAGGCCUUCGGGUUGUAAAGCACUUUCAGCGGGGAGGAAGGCGGUGAGGUUAAUAACCUCACCGAUUGACGUUACCCGCAGAAGAAGCACCGGCUAACUCCGUGCCAGCAGCCGCGGUAAUACGGAGGGUGCAAGCGUUAAUCGGAAUUACUGGGCGUAAAGCGCACGCAGGCGGUCUGUCAAGUCGGAUGUGAAAUCCCCGGGCUCAACCUGGGAACUGCAUUCGAAACUGGCAGGCUAGAGUCUUGUAGAGGGGGGUAGAAUUCCAGGUGUAGCGGUGAAAUGCGUAGAGAUCUGGAGGAAUACCGGUGGCGAAGGCGGCCCCCUGGACAAAGACUGACGCUCAGGUGCGAAAGCGUGGGGAGCAAACAGGAUUAGAUACCCUGGUAGUCCACGCCGUAAACGAUGUCGAUUUGGAGGUUGUGCCCUUGAGGCGUGGCUUCCGGAGCUAACGCGUUAAAUCGACCGCCUGGGGAGUACGGCCGCAAGGUUAAAACUCAAAUGAAUUGACGGGGGCCCGCACAAGCGGUGGAGCAUGUGGUUUAAUUCGAUGCAACGCGAAGAACCUUACCUGGUCUUGACAUCCACAGAACUUUCCAGAGAUGGAUUGGUGCCUUCGGGAACUGUGAGACAGGUGCUGCAUGGCUGUCGUCAGCUCGUGUUGUGAAAUGUUGGGUUAAGUCCCGCAACGAGCGCAACCCUUAUCCUUUGUUGCCAGCGGUCAGGCCGGGAACUCAAAGGAGACUGCCAGUGAUAAACUGGAGGAAGGUGGGGAUGACGUCAAGUCAUCAUGGCCCUUACGACCAGGGCUACACACGUGCUACAAUGGCAUAUACAAAGAGAAGCGACCUCGCGAGAGCAAGCGGACCUCAUAAAGUAUGUCGUAGUCCGGAUUGGAGUCUGCAACUCGACUCCAUGAAGUCGGAAUCGCUAGUAAUCGUAGAUCAGAAUGCUACGGUGAAUACGUUCCCGGGCCUUGUACACACCGCCCGUCACACCAUGGGAGUGGGUUGCAAAAGAAGUAGGUAGCUUAACCUUCGGGAGGGCGCUUACCACUUUGUGAUUCAUGACUGGGGUGAAGUCGUAACAAGGUAACCGUAGGGGAACCUGCGGUUGGAUCACCU
rnacentral:rRNA from 1 species